rnacentral:misc_RNA from 1 species
UUUUAUUUUGUUUUCUUGGAAACCAAGUUGAGUAAUUAUGAUUGCUAUUAUUUGAUGAUGAAAUACACAUUUGAAACUAUAUUUGCUCACAAUCAAUAUAAUAUUAGUAUACCCCAAUAACUAAUUCUUAUGACAUCAAUCCAUCUAUCCAUCUUCAAAACUUACAAAAAUAAUAUACAAUCCUCAACCCAUAUACUUUCAAAUCCUAAGCUGUCUAAGAACUCAAAUGGUUCUAUGCCAAAGUAUAGACCUAUACUAUUUGAAAUUUCUUCUUUCUUUACACUACCAUGCAUUAUCCUUGUUCCUACAAAUGGUUGGAACAGCAAGAAAUAGUGUGAAGAGAUCCUGAAUCCAUGAAACUUCAUCCAUUAGUGAGUUCUUCAUGGCCUUGUCCUAGUCAUCAGGCCACAAAGUCUGGCAGCAGUUGUGCUGCAAACCUCUUUCGGUUCUGAAUGUUGAUGCUGUCGUAUGCAGUGGAAGAAUGAGGUGUCGAUGUGCUAAUGCCUCCAAACUCAUUCAGUUCGCCAAUUUCUACUCUUCUUCCCAAUUGAAUGUUCUGGUUGGGAAGAAAACUUUGGUGGGUGCCUGAUAAGGAGAGAUUUUCACAGUGGGGAAGACCAAGAGUGAGAGAAACGGCAUUACCAGAAAACCUUGGUGUGAACUGUUCUGUAUCAAACCUUCCAAGUUCUCCAAUUGGGUAUUGCCCGAAACCUCCAAUGAAGUUGGUCUGGCCCCCAAUGAAUGAGUAGCCAUCCCUACUCUGCCUCUCAUUGCCAAACUUCAUUGAAACCUGCUCGUUUGUCUCGCCAGGCUUCACAUCCAUGUUUAUGGAGGGGACACCAGUUGGGGAUUGGAUCAAUUCCGUGCUUCUAGGCCUCUUUGGACUUCCUCGUGUGAUCCCUUCCAAUUCUGAUGACCCUAUGAAGGAGAAUCCGGAGUGGUUUCGUACAUUUCCUGCCACAGGGGAUGUUGAAGCUGUAGAUAUUGAAAUUGCAGGAGCAUUCUGGUUUAGAGAACUGUUCAAGGACUUGAAACUUUUAGUCUGAUUCUCAUUAACUGAACCCUUCUCUUGAAGAACAGAUCUCGAAGCUGAAUUUUCGUUCUGUUCGCUUUUGCUUGUUUUGUCCUCUGAUCCGUUCCUUUCUUGCUCCUUAAUUUCCUCCAUGUACAUCUCUUCUACCAUUGGCUUCCAAAGCCGAACUCUAGCAUUUAUAAACCAAUUAGACACCUGGCUCCUAGUGAGCCCUGUCUGUUUGGCUAGCAUAUGCUUAUCAGAAUCUUUAGGAUAAGGAUGCAGAAAGUGCUCGAAGAGCCAGGCACGAAGGACCGAAACUGAUCUUUCAGGCAAUCCUCUCUGGGGUCUCCAAGCAUUGUGCUGGAUCAUUCCCAACUGUUGAAGUGCUCGUUGUUGUCGAAGGUGAUGAUCGACGAAUUUGAGCCUUGAACCCUCAAGCUUUCCUCCAAGGCAAUCUUCUUCGCCUAGGCUCUUGUUUGCAGCUUUGAUUUGACCUGUUAUUGCAUCUUUUAAGCAUCGGAACUGCUUCGAGAUGGUUUGCAGUGCAAGAGCAGUGUAUGUCUUCGCAGAACCAAUUCCUGCGGCUUGCUCAAAUGACGAAAUCACUAUCUGCAUCUGGUGGUGGUACUGCCUGUACCUUUGCUCCACCUUCAAUUUAACAAGAAAUGAACCAACAAUAAGUGUUGAUCUCUCUCUGAUCUAAUCUCAUGAAAAUUCAACAUCAUUUUGUUCAAUUUUCUUCUUUUAAAGCCUAAUAUUUGUUUGGAGGCGAAAAUCCGAACUAAUAUAACAGAUUAAUGGCUCUUCCAAUUCAAGAGUGAAUUAUGAGUUGACACUUGAAAUCAUUCUAGAACUUGGAGAAGCUAUGAAAAGAUCAAAACAUUGAAAUUAUGGACCCAAUUCCUUUUCAUGGAUCUCUUCAAAUGAUAGAAACCAAUUUCUCAAAAUUCCUCAUCCUCUCGGCUUAAUUUUCACAAGAAACUACUAUAGAGAAAACCUCAUCACGCCGCAAAACAAACACACAAUUGAAUUGAUCAUCCUUGGUUAAAUAAAUAAAUAUAUUAAAAACCACAUACCUCAUCAAGCAUGCUGAUAAGCUUGGCCUUCUUCAUCUGAAUUUCUUGCCUCUCCGCCGUGGUAAGCUCUGCUCCGCGCUUCCCACCGGCAUCGCCACCAGCUGAGCCAUCUCCGCCUGAUGAUUCUCCAAUCACCUUGUUGCUAUUAUUACCGCUAAUCCCAUUACCCUUCUUGGACAAUUCAGUCUUAAUCCCAUUAUUAUUCACAUUAACAACCUCAUCAAGGAGCUCCUGAGCAGCCUUCAAGUACUUGGAGCUCAACAACACCCCUUGAAUACCAGACACCCCAUUAUUAGUCACCCCUGAACCUGAGGAUGCUGACCCACCAGAGACCCUAAUAUCUUCACCUGACACCGCUUGAGCCUGUGACCCAUAACCCGGUUGCUGCUGUGACGAAAGGCUCAAAGAGAGUCCUUGCUGAGCGCGUGGAGUUUCACGCGCAGCCGUGGAAGGGUCAACUGGGUUGUAGAGAUUGUAAUGAAUCCUCGGAAUAAGUCCAUGCAAAGUAGAAGUGUCAUGGGAGUUAGGGUCCAAAGGUAUGCCGACAAAUUGCUGGGCGUUGGGAUGCGCGUGAGAGAGGUGCGGUGGAGGAGAAAGGUUGUUAGCGGCGGAGUUGAGGAAGAGGAGGUUGUUGGAAGACGGUGGCGGUGGAGUAUCGGAGUAUUGGACAUAAGUAGGGUUCAUGAGGACGAGGGUUUGAAGUCCUUCUGCUGAAGCUGAAGCUGCAGCUGCUGCUUGGAUUUCCGGAUUCCCAUGAAAGUACGUCGCCAUCGGAUUUGUUUUCUUGGGAAAAUUAUAGACUUUUUCUCUGGACUUGCGAUAGUGUGGAUGCGUUGAUCAACCCAUCAAAGAAAGAGUUGAAAUCGAUGGGAAUACUCUUACAGGAGGAAACUCUGAUAUUCUGUUUUCAGUGAAAGCCUGUUGUGAUGGAAAUCUGAGUGUGCACGUGCUUCAUGAUCAUCUCAUCUGCACUGUCUAUAUGUAUGAAUCAUGAAUAAAUCUAUGGGAUUUGGAUGAUCAGUCUCUUCACACAAGGGAAAGCCCUUUGUCAGACUAAAAUCUCUGCAACUCUCUUACUGAAAAGGAAAAAGAGAAGUAAAGAGAAAGACUUGGUUAAAAAGGCUGAGAAAAAGAUACCCAUCUUUAUUCUCUAAUUAUCCAUACCAUUUAUUUUUAUAUUUAGCAAUCAAGAUUAAUCACAAACCUAUUUUCCAAAAUUAAGUUUCUCUCUUUUUUUUUUCAUAUUUUUGGGCUGAUUUAUGAGUAACUCAUCAGAAAUUAUGUAUGUUGCUUCUUUUUUCUUUCUCUUUUAAUGGGUUUUGAGUGAGGUAC